GAUGAAGAACGUAGCGAAAUGCGAUACUUGGUGUGAAUUGCAGAAUCCCGUGAACCAUCGAGUCUUUGAACGCAAGUUGCGCCCGAAGCCAUUAGGCCGAGGGCACGCCUGCCUGGGCGUCACACGUCGUUGCCCCCCCCAUCUACCCCUUCGGGAUUGCGGGGGGCGGAUGAUGGCCUCCCGUGCGCCUCGCCGCGCGGUUGGCAUAAAUGCCAAGUCCUCGGCGACGCACGCCACGACAAUCGGUGGUUGCGAAACCUCGGUUGCCCGUCGUGUGCGGUCGUCGCGCAUCGAGGGCUCGAAAAAAUUGCCGAGUUCCGGCUCGGCUCUCAACGCGACCCCAGGUCAGGCGGGGUUACCCGCUGAAUUUAAGCAUAUCAAUAAGCGGAGGA
rnacentral:misc_RNA from 1 species